AAUUCCUUCCACCACAAACCAGACCCUAACCCUAGCUCCAGUCCGGUCCACCCUCAUGUCCCGUGGCCCUCCAGCCUCUCCUGCCGCCAGCCUCUCCCGCCGCCAGCCUCCAUCCUUCCCUUCCCUCACCAGAUCUCCGGUGCUCCUCCAUGGCAGGCACUUGUGCUCCCCUCUCCACCUCUCCCAUCAGCCUCCAUCCCUUCGAACCACAAUCCCCUGUUCCCCCGUUCGUUGCGGUAGGCCCCGUCACUCGCACGUAUGUCAUGGCGUUGCCGGAUCUGUCUGCUACACUCAAUUCUCCCGUGGGAGGCCAUGGUGUGGGCGCGGAUGACCAUGGCGAUAGUGGAUAUGACACCAGCGCCUUCUCUCGACACCAUCCUCCGGAGCUGCCGAAGAGAACGACGAGAGGGCUGCCGACGGCUAUCUUCGCUGUUAAUGAAUUCGCAAGAAAUCGCUCGGUCAGGUUGGAUUCCCCUACUUCGUGCUACAGGGCGUGGAUGUGCAACACCGCUUAGAGGGUUUGAAGACCUCCUAAGUGAUGUGAAAGAAAGCUCCAACUACAUGGCACAAGCUUCAUGCUCACGGGGAGUGGUCCAAUACAAAGUCGGAGGUGUUUUCUUCUACUCCAUUGCAUCUGUUAAGCUGCUUGCAUGGAAAUACAAGUUUAAACUUGUAUCUUUGCAAAGUAUAUGCCAUCCUGAGAUUCAAAUAAAUACCAUGUCUUUAGGUAGUAAUUUUUUAAUUGAUGGUAAAUAAGUAUUAUAACUAUAGCUGAUCUGGACCUUAUCUCUAUGAUUGUAUGUGUUGCUCGCUGUAUAAAGUUGCCCUCAUGCUAGCUGAUCUGGACCUUAUCUCUAUUAUUUUAUCUGCUGCUCGCAAGGCCAAGACAAACAUAUGUACACAGCAGCGGCCAGCCAGCUGGAAACUAAAUACGACGCUCACGCAUACACAUGAGAAAUCCCUCAAUAACCAUAG